UACGAAGGGUGCAAGCGUUAAUCGGAAUUACUGGGCGUAAAGCGUGCGUAGGCGGUUUCUUAAGUCUGCUGUGAAAGCCCCGGGCUCAACCUGGGAAUGGCGGUGGAUACUGAGGAGCUGGAGUACGGUAGAGGAAGGUGGAAUUCCCGGUGUAGCGGUGAUAUGCGUAGAUAUCGGGAGGAACACCUGUGGCGAAGGCGGCUUUCUGGGCCCUACCUGACGCUGAGACGCGAAAGCGUGGGGAGCGAACCGG
rnacentral:rRNA from 1 species